AUACGGAGGGUGCAAGCGUUACUCGGAAUCACUGGGCGUAAAGCGCGCGCAGGCGGUCUUUUAAGUUGGAUGUGAAAGCCUACAGCCCAACUGUAGAACUGCAUCCAAAACUAUUAGACUAGAGUCUGGGAGGGGAAGAUGGAAUUAGUUGUGUAGGGGUAAAAUCCGUAGAGAUAACUAGGAAUACCAAAAGCGAAGGCGAUCUUCUGGAACAGUACUGACGCUGAGGCGCGAAAGCGUGGGGAGCAAACAGGAUUAGAAACCCCAGUAGUCC
rnacentral:rRNA from 1 species